rnacentral:rRNA from 1 species
AGCUCCACUAGCAUAUGUUGAAGUUGCUGCAGUUAAAACGCUCGUAGUUGUGGUUUUUUGGGUGGGGUGUGUUGUGCGUGAAAGCGUAUGAUGCGUCCUGCUCAUUAUCCUUUGGCAACUGUGUUAACUCACUGUUGCCUUGUAAACCUUGAAAAAAUAUUAACGCUUAAAGUUGGUCUUACGACCAAGUUCUAUUUGCAUGGGAUUUUGGAAUAAGAGCGGCACGGUAAAACGUGUUGCUAAUGACAUUUGAGGAUGAAAGAGGAAGUUAAUACUCGAACGUCAGAGGUGAAAUUCUUGGAUUGUACGAUGAUUAACUAAUGCGAAGGCAUUCUUCAAUUGCUUUCCUG